UAACGAUAACACGCGACCAAGCGCUGUGUGAUACGCGGCUAGACUACGUUCAAACACCUUGCUUCCGAGGAUAACUCAAGGAGUUUUAUGGAGAACCGCAUGGAGGUCGAUCUGAGAGGGUACAUUGCUAGCAAUGGGGCUGUUAGACCCAAUUACUAACAGUCCCUUUCCCCCCACCCCUUACAAACCUAUUUUAACUAUUAGAGUGUUAUGUCACUGUCUUUCAUCAACUUAAACUUAGGUACCUUUUGUCCCUGUUGAAAUUCGAAUGGAACAGAGGUACCCAAGCAAACGACUUUUGUACAAAGAGUGCCUCUGGUAAAUGAAUAUAUAAAUGAAUAUAAAUACAUACAUCUACAGUCGGCCCCGAAGUUGAUGAUAGUUGAUGGGGUGCUUGCCCCUGUGCAGCUGAGAGAAGCCAUGUUGCUGCAAAUGCCCCAAACGCUAGCCAUGCUGUCCAUCUAUGUAGCAUCUUGAAACUGUAAAACACACAUGUUAUGGUACAGUUAAAUGUUUAAUAUUGAACAAAUAUUUAAUAAUAUGGAAAAUAGAGAAAACUAAUAGUAUUUAUUACUUGAAGGAGACUACACACUGUCUGCAUGGGUAUGUUUAUCCCAUUACAAGUUUUUACUGUCAAACAACUGUACAUGCAUGGAUGUAUUUCAAUUUCACCAUUAACAUUAUUUAUGUUAAUAAUCAUAUUACAAAAUACAGAGAUAUAACAUCUUAGUCCCUAGAAAUGGCUAUGCAUGAGAAACACAAUAUAUUCUGUGAUAUUCAUAUAUAAAGGAUCCUGACCAGGACAAACGUGCUUAUGUAGCCUCAGACAUUUCUGUGAAACUUCACUUAUAUCCUAAAAUGGGCAUGAGAUGAUUUUUAAGGUGGGCAUGGCAACUCAAAUAAUUUUAAAUUUUUGUAAUACAUGAAAAACAAAUCUUGGCAAAAUUACUACAGAAUCUAUGGGAACAAUAUAAUUAAAAAUGAAUGCUGUGUGUGUG